rnacentral:rRNA from 1 species
UGGGGAAUAUUGGGCAAUGGGCGAAAGCCUGACCCAGCAACGCCGCGUGAAUGAAGAAGGCCUUCGGGUUGUAAAGUUCUGUCCUAUGGGACGAAGAAAGUGACGGUACCAUAGGAGGAAGCCCCGGCUAACUACGUGCCAGCAGCCGCGGUAAUACGUAGGGGGCGAGCGUUGUCCGGAAUUACUGGGCGUAAAGGGUGCGCAGGCGGCGAUUUAAGUCAGAUGUGAAAUACCCGGGCUUAACUCGGGGGUUGCAUUUGAAACUGGAGUGCGUGAGGGCAGGAGAGGAAAGUGGAAUGCCUAGUGUAGCGGUGAAAUGCGUAGAUAUUAGGAGGAACCCCAGUGGCGAAGGCGACUUUCUGGACUGUAACUGACGCUGAGGCACGAAAGCGUGGGGAGCAAACA